rnacentral:ribozyme from 1 species
CAAACACACAUGAUGCAAACCCCAAAUAUAACCCGCAGAAAAAGAGCUGCGCAUUUUGCUUUACAGUGUGAGGUUUCGUUGAAAAAAGACGACAAUCGAAAGCCCCCUUUCCCUCACACUCACAAAGGACAAGCAU